rnacentral:rRNA from 1 species
UACGGAGGGGGCCAGCGUUGUUCGGAAUUACUGGGCGUAAAGCGCGCGUAGGCGGCUUUGCAAGUCGGGUGUGAAAUCCCCAGGCUUAACCUGGGAACUGCAUUCGAGACUGCAUUGCUAGAGUAUGGGAGAGGGAAGUGGAAUUUCCGGUGUAGCGGUGAAAUGCGUAGAUAUCGGAAGGAACAUCAGUGGCGAAAGCGACUUCCUGGACCAAUACUGACGCUCAUGUGCGAAAGCGUGGGGAGCAAACAGG